rnacentral:rRNA from 1 species
UACGGAGGGGACUAGCGUUGUUCGGAAUUACUGGGCGUAAAGCGCACGUAGGCGGAUUUGUAAGUCAGGGGUGAAAUCCCGAGGCUCAACCUCGGAACUGCCUUUGAUACUGCGAAUCUCGAGUCCGGAAGAGGUGAGUGGAAUUCCUAGUGUAGAGGUGAAAUUCGUAGAUAUUCGGAAGAACACCAGUGGCGAAGGCGGCUUACUGGACCGGCAUUGACGCUGAGGCGCGAAAGCGUGGGUAGCAAACAGG